CUUUGAGAAAUGGAAAGUAUAUCAUGGAAGUAGGGGUGAUAUUUAUUUAUUUAUUGGCUUUAUUAUAGGCUAGAUACUUUGUAAAAUUGUGAUGAUUAAGAAAUGAGAAAUUUAUGCAGUUAUGAUGCAGUAAAGAAGACCUACAAGAAAAUGUGGGCUGGCAUUCCAGGCUGACAGAGACAAUUUCCUGGGGACUCUCAGGCCUGACAACUAGACAUUUAAUCCUAAAAUCCCAUGGAGCCAGUUGGUUAUUGAAGACCUUAAGGCAAUAUCAUGAUGUUUUAAGAGCAGACUCCAGAUCUGAUGGCCUGAAUUCAUACCAACUCUUAGGUAAGUUAUUCUGUAUAAAUUUUUACCUCUCUGAGCCCCAGUUUCCUCAUUUGUAAAAUGGGUAUAAUAGCAGCUUUCUUGUAGAUGGUCAUGAAGA
rnacentral:lncRNA from 1 species